UGGCCACUGGCUGCACUAACAGUAGGAGAAGUAGCCACAUCCCGUAUCUGGGUUGCAGUUAAGGCUGUCCAUCCCCCAGCUGCCGCUCCUGGUUCUCCAUGUAUACAUGGUUUCACUUCAUUAGGCAUCAAACUCUCCAUUAUUAGGCAUGAAAAAAUUCACACCUUCCCAGUGCCUCGUAGAAGUGCAGUAAAUCUCAAGGGGAGAGGGGUGUGGAGUCUGCAGCCCUUCAUGUGCUCAGAGCUGCCAGCGUGGGUGGCUCUUCGCUGUCUCUUCUCAGAGUGCCAGGUGGGAAGUGCAGCAAGAAUGCUCCAGUUCCCUCUGACAUUAGCUAGCCAAGCUUCUAGAGAGUUCCCUCUGACCUACUUAGACUGCCUCUACAAGGAGGCAAAACUGGAAGCAGAAUUCCACACUCACAGCUGAACUCUUGCCUUCCAUUCCGAAUCCUCUCUAAACUCAUUCAAGAAAAUAAUGUAAAUCACUUUAUGAUGGGAAGCCUUGCUUAAUGUCAUUACAUGAUCUUCCUUCAUUAAGUGGUGGAUAAUGCUAUGUUCUGAGUCUUCUAGAUAUGUCCUCUGAAUAUGUAGGUCAGGAUUUUCAGAAUUCAGAAACUGCCACAAUAAGUUUUGAAAAUGUAUUUAGGAUCCUGUUUAAUAUCAUUACUCUAAAUUGUACCUUUUUUUUUUCCUAAAGGAAUACAUAUAUCCUGCUGGUAGAAGCAAAAAAUGAAGCCAGAAGGAAUAUUGGCUCCUAAAUUAUUAAAAUGGCAUAGUAGGAUAUAGAUUUUUAAAGGGUCAACAAAUAAAAAAGUAUUUAGAGUUUAUCAUUCAAGAACAAUGGAAAAUCGAGUAUAGAUUUAAUGUUAAGAUUGAUGGGGAAGGAAAAGGAAAGGAAAACAUGGUUAUUCUUGACACUGAGAGCUAAAAUGAGCAAACUCGACAACAUCCUGGGCCUCAUACGGCACUAAUCACUAUUUUAGUCCUCAAGUCUUUGGCAGUGCUUCUAAUGGAAGCAACAGGUUUUAGUUAAAUGAACAAAACACUGGGAUAAUGGGGAGGAAGUCUUGGGACUUGGAGGAAGAUAUUAACAUUAAGAUUCCAACAUUCACCGGAUGCUUUGUUAGGCUUUUUACUUAAUUUUAUUUAAUUGACACAAUAAACCUACAAAAUAAAUAUCAUUGUCUCCAUGCUACCAAUGAAAAGCAAAGUUCAUGGGAGUUAAAUCCUUUGCCUAAGAUCAAGUAGUAAGUAAAAGAAAGAGGGCUAUGCCUCGAUUGUUUCUAAGUCUUUGGCCUUUCCUCCGUUGUAAUGAAUUGCCACAAGUAGGUCAUGUAGGUAGGUCAUUGAGCCUUGCUUCAUGAGAAAACCCUUUGAGAAUCCUUGAAUUCAUAUUGCUUAUGUUAUUCUUAACACAGAUUCUGAAAAGACUACUAUGUAAAAGCAAAUAGAAAGUCCAUAAAGAUUUGCCAGCAUUUAGCAAGAGAAAAUGGAAAAUAUGAAAAUUUAUCGGCAGCACAAAAAGAGGAGAGAGAGAGAGAGAGAGAGAGAGAGAGGUUUGGCACAAAGUAAACCUGUAAUAAUUCUGAAGAAAAUAUAACCUAAGGAAAGGAAAAAGUUUGCCAAUAGUUCUUCAUGCCAUAAGAAACAUAGUAGGUUAAUAAAAUCAAGGAAAAGUGAACUCAAGGACAGCAUAGAAAUGAGAUAUUGAAAAAACUAAGGAAGCAAAUUGUUAAUCAAAUCAACAAUUAUAUAUAUAAUACAUAAAAUGACAAUAAACAGAAUUUUAAUUUAUUGACAUAAAGAAAAGUUUUAAAUAAUCAGGAUUGAUAAGAGGCAGAUAUGAGACAAAAACAUUCAUGAAAUUAGAGAGGAUAAGAAUGUGAGAGAUAAUCAUCGUUCAGUGUAACGGUGUGCCCUCCUCACAUGUUACAAAUAAAACUCUGCAAAGAUAUUGUAGGAAAAAAAAUCUCUGAAAUAAUAAGAAAACUAAACCUAAGGAAUGAAAAUAUAUGCCAAAAAUGGAUUUCAACAGAAUCAAGUCAUAUAUGUUGAUUAAGUUAUUGCACUUCAAGGAACAAAGAAACUUUCAAAGACAGUUAAUUACGAAGAGAAAGAUCCAGUUGGCUUCAAAUUUCUCCUCUGGAAGAGGACAAAAAUAAACAAUAUAAAUAAAGCUCUGAUGGAGGGGAAGGGUGCUGGAAAUCACGCUAUCAGCUUUGAUAUUUUGUCAAGCAAAAGACAAUAGGAAGCAGGCGGGUGUAAUCAAUCAUGUGAAGGGAGGACAUUUAAACAAAAUAGCCUAUUUAUGAGAUUUAACUGAGAGAUAAAUGGAAGAACCUUUGUAAAUAGGAUGGGUGCCAGACUCAUUUCAAAAAUGAAGAGACCAUAGGGUUUAUUUUGGGCAAACAAAUCUAAUCAUAAAUUUUACAUCCAACAUACUUCUUAUAUGGUAUGGCAGCGAUCUUUCUCACAGAGGCAAAAUCUCAAGGGACAACUCAAAAAAUUGUAAUCUAUAAAACAUUUCUAAAAGAAUACUUAAAGGUGAAUUUCAGCUAACUAUUAGAACCACCAAACUGAAGAACACAAGUAUGGAGAUAGACUGGUGGUAUUACAUCUAUUAAAAUAUGUGCAUAUUUUUUUUGUGUGUGUGCAUGUGUUGAGCAUAAUACCUAUUACAAAUCUUGACCAAGUAACACAAAUAUAUGUCAUUUUAAAGCAUGGAAAGUUGACUGACAGGAAGAGAGAGACCAUGGCAUAGAGAAUUUCUUCAUCUUUGCUAACAAAAAAGUCAAAAUAUUAUCUAAAACUGAAAUGAGGUAACAAAAGUCUCCAGCUCUUUCUUCUUGUUUAUAAUCUUUUAAAAAAUUUCAUUACCUGGCAAUUUUUCUUUUUCUUUCAAGUCUACUUAUAAAAGAGGAGCAAUACUGAUUUGCCCAUUGGCUUCUAAGUCUACUCUUGCCUCACCUUUACCCCGCUUGCAUGUCAGGAAGCUAAUACCUGUGUGGUACAUUUCGUAGGCUCCCUGAUUCACAGGCUUUCAAGUAGGUUAAGUCAGUGGAAUCGCAGACUGCAGACUGAGAAGUAGAAAUAACCAAGACAUGUCUCCUUUGCCGUCUCUCUGCUUCGCUGCCAUCUCUGCGAUAUGUUUCAAUGUGAAUCCAGUUCCCAGUGAAGAGACUCUGCUUCCCUGGCCCCAGUUCCAGCUGCCUCCAGACAGCCGGACACCUGCACUCUAGUUACCUGCCUCCUUUGCCCUGAGUAGUGGUGGCUUCUUGCUCCUUUUAGGAAUUUAAUUGCAAUGCUCUUUUUGACUACUGUAACUAACUCCCAACAUUAAGUUUCCCUCAGUAGGUCUUCUAAUGGGCCUUUUGGCAUCAGUUCUCCUUUCUUGAUUAGAUCUUGCUGAUUACAUCUUCUCCAUGGAGAUAUCUGAUGAUAUUUAAGUCAUUAAAAUCUCUUAAAGUUAAAGAAAAAAAUGUUUGACAAUUUUAAAAGUUGAACUUAAAUUCAAUUUUUGUUGUGUUAUUCGUCUAUCUUCCUGUUUGCUUAUUAUUUACAUAUCUAAUCCUUUACAGAUCUAUGAUGAUGUGUAUGAGAAUAUAGAUAGCAGCAUAGAUACAGACACAGAUUUAUGCAUAAAAACUGUCUGGUAGUUCAGUUUAAUUUCAUGAUCAUCGUUGGUAGUUAUUAUGAUAUGAUUUUAUUUUCUCUUUCUUUUUUGUACUUUUAUUGAAUUAAAGAAAUACACAUAUGUGAUUUUAUACAUAAUAAAAUGUCAGACAGUUGACUUUAAACUUAUUAAUGAGACUGUGAAAAUAUGUCAAUGUGUCCACCCUAUAAAUAAUUUGGUAACCAUUGCAAUGGUAACUAGACAUAUGAAAUUUGCACUCCUAAGUGGGGAAUUGAUUUAGUGAACUUUAAAUGUAGAUCCUGUAAAACAUAUUUAUACCUUUUAUGAGUAGUUGUGUUAUAUGACUUAGUACAUCAUAAUGGCAAAAUCAUAAAAAUGACAGAAGCUGGAAGAGAUGGCUAAAUCACAAAAAGUGUGUGUUGCAGUGUAUAAUUACAUAUAAUUAGCAAUCAAACUUAUUGAAUAUGUGAUGGAUUUAUUUAGCUAAAAGCUACUUUCCUUUUUGAAAGUUUAUGAAAAAUGACAUAUUUUGUCUGUAUAUGUGAAUUGAACAGCUCUGUUAAUUGAAAAUGAGUUAUCUAUAACUUUGACAUACAGAUAUCUACCAAAUCAGAUUCAUUUUAGAUGAUCUUUUCAUAGGAAAAGAUAGAAAGAACUAUAAAAAUUGUAGAAAUUGUAGAAAU
rnacentral:lncRNA from 1 species